rnacentral:rRNA from 1 species
UGGGGAAUUUUGGACAAUGGGGGAAACCCUGAUCCAGCCAUCCCGCGUGUGCGAUGAAGGCCUUCGGGUUGUAAAGCACUUUUGGCAGGAAAGAAACGUCAUGGGUUAAUACUUCGUGAAACUGACGGUACCUGCAGAAUAAGCACCGGCUAACUACGUGCCAGCAGCCGCGGUAAUACGUAGGGUGCAAGCGUUAAUCGGAAUUACUGGGCGAAAAGCGUGCGCAGGCGGUUCGGAAAGAAAGAUGUGAAAUCCCAGAGCUCAACUUUGGAACUGCAUUUUUAACUACCGGGCUAGAGUGUGUCAGAGGGAGGUGGAAUUCCGCGUGUAGCAGUGAAAUGCGUAGAUAUGCGGAGGAACACCGAUGGCGAAGGCAGCCUCCUGGGAUAACACUGACGCUCAUGCACGAAAGCGUGGGGAGCAAACAGG